rnacentral:rRNA from 1 species
UGGGGAAUUUUGGACAAUGGGGGAAACCCUGAUCCAGCCAUCCCGCGUGUGCGAUGAAGGCCUUCGGGUUGUAAAGCACUUUUGGCAGGAAAGAAACGUCAUGGGUUAAUACCCCGUGAAACUGACGGUACCUGCAGAAUAAGCACCGGCUAACUACGUGCUAGCAGCCGCGGUAAUACGUAGGGUGCAAGCGUUAAUCGGAAUUACUGGGCGUAAAGCGUGCGCAGGCGGUUCGGAAAGAAAGAUGUGAAAUCCCAGAGCUCAACUUUGGAACUGCAUUUUUAACUACCGGGCUAGAGUGUGUCAGAGGGAGGUGGAAUUCCGCGUGUAGCAGUGAAAUGCGUAGAUAUGCGGAGGAACGCCGAUGGCGAAGGCAGCCUCCUGGGAUAACACUGACGCUCAUGCACGAAGGCGUGGGGGGCAAACAGG